rnacentral:rRNA from 1 species
CAGCAGCCGCGGUAAUACGUAGGGUGCGAGCGUUAAUCGGAUUUACUGGGCGUAAAGCGUGCGCAGGCGGCCCGUUAAGACAGGUGUGAAAUCCCUGGGCUCAACCUAGGAAUUGCGCUUGUGACUGGCGGGCUCGAGUACGGUAGAGGGGGGUGGAAUUCCUGGUGUAGCAGUGAAAUGCGUAGAGAUCAGGAGGAACACCGAUGGCGAAGGCAGCCCCCUGGGCCUGUACUGACGCUCAUGCACGAAAGCGUGGGGAGCAAACAGGAUUAGAUACCCUGGUAGUCCACGCCCUAAACGAUGGGUACUAGCCGUUUGGUGCGCGAUAGCGCUGAGUGGCGAAGCUAACGCGUGAAGUGCCCCGCCUGGGGAGUACGGCCGCAAGGUUGAAACUUAAAGGAAUUGGCGGG